rnacentral:rRNA from 1 species
AUGAACGCUGGCGGCGUGCCUAAACCCUUCAAUUCCGCGAACCAAUGAGGAACUUUCUUCCCCUACCUUUGGGGCCGACGGGUGAGUUAACCGUGGGUAACCUUCCCUUUAAACUGGGGUUACUUCCGGAAAACCGAGCUAAUACCCGAUAAUAUAAUGAACCCCCUUGUUCCAUUGUGAAAGUCGGUUUUUCUGUUCAUUAAUGAUGGGAUCCCGGCCGAAUUAGCUAGUUGGUAAGGUAACGGCUUACCAAGGCAACGAUGCGUAGCCGACCUGAGAGGGUGAUCGGCCACACUGGAACUGAGACACGGUCCAGACUCCUACGGGAGGCAGCAGUAGGGAAUCUUCCGCAAUGGGCGAAAGCCUGACGGAGCAACGCCGCGUGAGUGAUGAAGGUCUUCGGAUCGUAAAACUCUGUUAUUAGGGAAGAACAAAUGUGUAAGUAACUAUGCACGUCUUGACGGUACCUAAUCAGAAAGCCACGGCUAACUACGUG